AGUGAACGCUGGCGGUAGGCCUAACACAUGCAAGUCGAACGGCAGCACAGGAGAGCUUGCUCUCUGGGUGGCGAGUGGCGGACGGGUGAGGAAUACAUCGGAAUCUACUCUGUCGUGGGGGAUAACGUAGGGAAACUUACGCUAAUACCGCAUACGACCUACGGGUGAAAGCAGGGGACCUUCGGGCCUUGCGCGAUUGAAUGAGCCGAUGUCGGAUUAGCUAGUUGGCGGGGUAAAGGCCCACCAAGGCGACGAUCCGUAGCUGGUCUGAGGGGAUGAUCAGCCACACUGGAACUGAGACACGGUCCAGACUCCUACGGGAGGCAGCAGUAGGGAAUAUUGGACAAUGGGCGCAAGCCCGAUCCAGCCAUACCGCGUGGGUGAAGAAGGCCUUCGGGUUGUAAAGCCCUUUUGUUGGGAAGGAAAUCCAGCUGGCUAAUACCCGGUUGGGAUGACGGUACCCAAAGAAUAAGCACCGGCUAACUUCGUGCCAGCCGCCGCAGUAA
rnacentral:rRNA from 1 species